rnacentral:lncRNA from 1 species
GGAGCUUUGAAUCCACCUGGGAGGCUUAAGAGAAAGUGCUGAGUCCCCCAUGCCCUACCCCUGAGACUGCUGACAGGCAUCGCUGAGGGCUGCAGCUUUGGAAUCGGGCAUCUUCUGAGGAAGAGAAAGGCACCACAGCCACGGCACAGAAGACUAGCCCACCUGGAUGACACGGUCCAUCUGCUUGAUGGAAGGCUGCUGAUGGAGCCAUUGGUGGAUCUCCAGGGGACCAGAGUGAAGAUGACAUUAAGACCAUGGAUGGCAGAGUACAAUUUCUGAAGGCUCUGUAGAGUUGGUAGAUCAACAUCCUACCUGGCUGUCCUGUUUAUAACAGGAAAUAUUCAAUGUCCAUAUUUUAAAACCAGUUGGAAUCCAGGUUGUCUGUUGCUUGUAGUUGAAAACAUCCAAACUAGGCAGUGGUGGAUACCUUGGGCAUAAGCUGCCAUCCUGAAAUGUGGCCAGGCUGAGCUGGUGGACAUUAUAAAAUCCACAAGUUGGGCCAUCAGGUGUGGGAAGGGAGUCAGAAUCGCAGAAUGUCUGAAAAGAAAUGGCUUGUGUUGCCCACAGUAAAGCCAGUAGGGUUCAUCACAUAUCUUGCUGGGAGGUCUUGGUGGGCAUUGUCUGGUAGGGAAAGAGUGUGGACGUUGGAUGCCACACACCUGCGUGGGCAGAUUGCUAGAUAAGUCAAGAUUGAUCAACAAUACCAGUUCCACUUGGGUGACAUGCUUUAAUGAUUGUCAUGAGCACACGACUGAUGGAUGUUACCCUCAAUGGUGCUUUAAAAUGGUUUCUUCUGUAAAAGCCAGCAAAAUGUAGACAGUGAGAGAGCAACCUCUGGCACCUUCAGGUACCUGGAAGCACAGGGCAAGAGAAAAUGCACCUGGGGUAGGAGGAGAAGGAAGGAGUGACCCAGUUCCACCUACUCACCCACCUCAAAGUCAUCAGUCAAAACCUUAGACUUCUAGCCCCAGGUCCACCAAAAGUAAAAUCUCUUGGGAUAGGGCAAGUGUUCUCAGCAACUUUUUUUUUUUAAGCUAGUCUUUGAACUCUUGCGUUGAGGACUCAGCAGUGGUGGGAGCAGCAGGAAGAUGACAGGAUUCUGUCCAUGUAAUCCAGUUGAGGGAUUAACUGUGUGAGUGUGCACGUGUAGGUGUGUGUAUGUGCACAUACUUGUGUGCAUGUUUGUGUGUGCACACGUGUGCAGUGUUCUUAUGUGCAUGUGUGUUGUACAUGUGAGUGCACAUGUGUGUGGUGACGGAGACAAGUAGGGCUGAAGUCGAAACAGCAUAAGCCUGGAGAUUUGGAGAAGCAACAAGGGCAGUCCCAUUCUGCUCGGAAAUGAAGAGCACAGGUGGCUGGGGGUGUUGGGAGUGGGAGACGGCAGCAGAAGAUCCCCUUGUAGGGAAAGGGCCUCAUAACCCCCCACACAGUUUCUGGGACUGCUAGCAAUUCCCCUUGCAGGAGAGAGAUUGUCUGCCUCCCUCUAUGGAUGAGGACAUGGAAGGCAGGACUUUAGUGAGCAAGUCCCUCAGCUCACGAGCGAGACUCAGGAAGGGAGGGGAGAGUCUGGUGGGAGACAUAGUGUUUCUCACUGGCCUGUCUCCCCACGAGCUGUUGCUGCGCCCUGGGCCACUCCUUCCUCUGUGCCUACCUGAAUUUCUUGUCUUUCGAGACUCCAGGUCGUGGCUACCUUAUCAAUCUUCCUGCUCCUUCCCAAGGCCCAGGUUGGAGCCCCUCUCUGUGUUCAGGAGGACUGGGGGCUCCCCCUACCCUCGCCCCAUGUCUUUGUAUUGCUAUCCCAACUUUAAUGCUGGGCUUUUCUGGAGACGUUGGGAUCCUUGAGGACAGAGCUGUGUCUUAUCCACUGUUAUGCUGGGUCCCUUACUAAACAGGUACUGAAUGCACUAAUCUCAGCCUGGAGCUAGGGGAGGCCAACAGAUACCCCUUUGCCUCAAUGUUGUAGGUAUGGCCUCUUGGGAACUGUGUAGUAUUUUUUUGUGGGUGAGUGUGAGUGUGUGUGUGUGUGUGUGUGUGUGUGUGUGUGUGUGUGUGUGUGUGUAUGAGAGAGGGAGAGAGACAGCCUGCAUCAUUCUGCACUGUGUCCUGCAUAUGUGUAGUCACAGCCCCAUUUACAACACCUAGAGUGUGGCUUGAGCAUGUCCCAGUUUUCAUCAGACUUGGGGAUGCCUAGGAAAAGAAGGAGAAAAGUUCGUGAGCAGCAGCAACAGCAGCCUGGGGCAGGGGAGGAGGGGCCUGGCCAGAAGCCCCAGAGGCCCCAGUAGCCGAUGGUGAACUGACCUUGUACAGGAUAAGCUGUCCCGGUAAAGUCCAAGUCAGAGGCUCAGUCUCCAUUCAGGACAAACUUCUAUAGGGUGAGGAAGGAGCUCAGACAGGCUGGCCUUGGGAUCUGCAGCCUCACUUUACUUGUUCCAGAAACAGAGAUUCUAUUCAGGGUGGCUGGCCUUGAAGGGGUGUCUAGGAGCUCUGGGAACAGUGCAACUGUGACGUGCACAGUGCCUUUUUUUUUAGCCCAAGGUUAUGUGUGGUAAACUAUGCAUGACAUACAAUCUAUCAUCUUACUACUUUAAGUGUACAGUUCAGGGUAUUAAGUACAUUCACAUGGCUGUGCAGCCACCACCAGCACCAUCCAUCUCCAGAACUCUUAUUGUUUUGCAACACUGAAACCGAAAACUGAGAACAUGAGGUAUUUGGUUUUCUGUUCCUGUGUUAGUUUGCUGAGGAUGAUGGCUUCUAGCUUCAUCCAUGUCCCUGCAAAGGACAUGAUCUCAUUCUUUUUUAUGGCUGCAUAGUAGAAUCUCCUUUAUUUUUAAGGCUGAAUAAUAAUCCCCUCGUAUGUAUGUAUGAUCCAUCCAGUCAUCCGUCGACAGGCAUUUGGGUUGCAUGGGGCAUCUUUAGUAUUUCGAUCAUCAAAUAAUUAAAUAAGAGGUUGGAGUUUACACGCAGUGUUUUCUAUACCGUUGUCUCAUUGAUUCAUUUCCCUGAAAUUAUAUUCAUGUGGUUAACUUGAUCCUUCUGUGGGAAAGGGCCUGGGAGGCAAAGAAAAGUAUGAGUGUGGUUCUGAUGCAACCCUUAGACUUUCCUGUGGCGGACAGUGGGUGGACGUCUCAGGUUGAUGGUGUCGCAGGUGUCUGUGCAGGGAUGGGGUGUUUCUACCGGAACCUACCCAGCUUCCCCACCUUGCCUUCUUUAUGUGCGCUGGCUGGCAUGGCACGGUGCCCUGCCACUGAUGCUGGCGUCGGAUGGCCUGGAACUGAGUGUGUGGCCUCAGGCAGGUGACUUUGCUUCUGUGAGCCUCUCUUCAUUUGUGGUCCCCAAAAGCGGCCGUGGGAAAGAAAUGAGAGAGCACAGUGUCUGAACAAUAGUCCUUUUGUGAUAAAUGGUGGUUUUCUUCCUACUGCUCUCCCACUUGGUGAUCAUGAACUUCAGAGAAAACAUUCCCUGAUUUUUGGGGACCCACACACAUGGUGAUGCGCUGGAUGUUGUCACCCUGGUCAGUCUGACUCCCCCCACCCCGGACAGUUGGGCUCUUCCUGAGAAGCCCAUCUCACAACGCGUUUGCAGGACUUCCCAUGAGUGAUUCCCAAUUCCAUUAUUCAGGGAUGCGAUGAGGCCCCAAGGGCUAAAUGUUGUGGCAUUGGAAGCAAAACCUACAGCCCAGAGUCAGCUUGGGUGAGAGGCCCAUGGGGCCCUCACGGCACCGACCUCAAAGACCUACAGGGAUGGAAGCCCGGCAAACAGAAAUCCUUCAUAAUUGCCCAGAAGUUCAAAGCUACUGGUCCGUUAGGUUAAUAGCCCUGCAGAUCUCAUGGCUGGAUCCGAAGCAGCAUUUGCGGAGUUCACAAUGAUCCUGGUCACCUUGGACGUUUUAUUGUGCCACUCGCUUGCAACAAGCCUCCAUCUCAACACAGAUGAGAUGUACUCCCAAGUAAGGAGUUUGAAAAAGCAGGAAGCACCAGCAGAUGGAGCGCGAGUUCGGGAUCCCAGCUCAGGCUGGUGCGGUUUGGGACCCAACACACUUGUGCAUUUCUGUGGGUUCAUCCGCACAGCACGUCCUCCACCGGGGCCCUACCUGCUUCCCACCACUGCGGCCCGGGCCCCUUCCCUGCUCAAUUCAGCCCUUUUCUUUAGAGCUCAGGUCCACCCUCCUAGAAACAAGAACACUAUGACUAAUUAUAAAAUCAUUAUAUGAUUAAACUCAAUUAACUUCAAAUAACCCUUGAAAUUUGCUUAAUGUCAGCCUUUGGCCCCGCUUGAACUGUUAAAUGUUGCUCUCCUUUGAAAUUCCAGUGAGACCAGCUGGUUACAGUCCACUACCUGGCGUGAUCCCUGGGCUCUGUGGGGCCACGUGUCUUGGAGUGCAGGGCAGGAAAUGAUGGCCUGGUGCUGAGGGUCCGGAGCACAGGUGAGGGAAGAGGUUGGGGGAGAUAGUGGUGAUGGAAUUUGGGAACCUUUGGCUCUGCUGGCUAUUAGUUGACGAAUGGCUGGGAGGAGCUCUGAGGUGGCCUUUCACUUGGGCUCUGACAAGUUUGUUCAAGCCUCUGAGUUUGAACUUGGUGUCUUUUUUGGGCUGAAUGUUGUGCUUCUAAAACUCAUAUGUUGAAAUUCUAAUCUCCAGUAUCUCAGAAUGUGACUACUGUAUUUGGAGACAGGGCCCUUAAAAAUGUGAUUAGGGUUAAAUGAAGUCAUCUGAUGUGACUAGUAUGCUAAUAAGUAGAGGAAAUUUGGACACACACACACACAUGUGCAGAGGGAGGUCAUAUGGAGACACGGGGUGGGGGGUGGGGACGGUGGCCGUCUGCAAGACAGAGAGAGGGGUCUCUGGAAGAAGCAACCCUGCUGAUGCCUUGGUUUUGGACUUCCACCCUCCAAAACUAUGAGGAAAUCAACUUCUGUUGUUUAAGCUACCCAGUCUAUGGUACUUUGUUGAGGCUGCCUGUGGUGGUUAAUAUUGAGUGUCAACCUGAUUGUACUGAAAGAUGCAAGGUAUUGUUCCUGGGUGUGUCUGUGAGAGUGUUGCCCAAGGAGAUUAACAUUUCAGUCAGUGGACCGAGAGAGGCAGACCCACCCACAAUCUGGGUGGGACUAUCUAAUCAGCUGCCAGCGCAGCUAGGAUAAAGCAGGCAGAAGGAAGUUGAAUGAGGGUGGACUUGUUGAGUCUUCUGGCCUUCAUCUUUCUCCAGCGCUGGAUGCUUCAUGCCUUUGAACAUUGGACUCCAAGUUCUUCACCUUUUGGACUCUUGGACUUACACCAGUGGUUUGCCAGGGACUCUCAGGCCUUUGGCCACAGACUGAAGGCUGCAUUGUCAAUCCUCCUUAAUAAACUCCCUUUCAUAUAUGCAUCUAGCCUAUUCUGUGCCUCUAGAGAACCCUGACUAAUAUACUGCCGUAGCAAACUAAUACAGCACCCUUCAUUCUCUGUCUCUCUGUUAGCCUAGAAGGUCAGCCCAGAGUCCUGAUAGCAGGGGUGGGAGGCGGGCACCCCUCAGACUAGUUACAGAUACAAAGAUG